AGCGAACGCUGGCGGCGUGCUUAACACAUGCAAGUCGCGCGGGAAAGAGACUUUCGGGUCUUGAGUAGAGUGGCGAACGGGUGAGUAACACGUGGGUGAUCUACCUUCGAGUGGGGGACUAACGUCCCGAAAGGGACGACUAAUACCGCAUGACGUUCCGGGUUUAAAGACCAGGAAACCAAAGCCGGGGACCGCAAAGGCCUGGCGCUUGGAAGAGGAGCCCGCGUCCGAUUAGCUAG
rnacentral:rRNA from 1 species